AUGACUUUGAUCUGCGUCCUCAUCUGGACUCUCCUCUGCUGCUGCUUCACAGAGUCCAGAGGCCAGGUCACAGUGACUCAGCCUGGAUCAGUGAGGUCUGGUCUGGGAGGAACCGUCACCAUCAGAUGUAGAACCAGUCAGAAUAUUCAUGGAAACUAUUUAACCUGGUACCAGCAGAGAGAUGGAGGAAUUCCUAACCUUCUCAUUUAUCAAACUAGCACUAGAGAAUCAGGGAUUCCAGGUCGUUUUUCAGGCAGUGGAUCAAACUCUGACUUCACUCUGACUAUCAGUGGAGUCCAGACAGAAGAUGCAGCAGUUUAUUACUGUAUGGGUCAUCACUACAUCAACAGCAAAUACUCGUUCACACAGUGA